UUAUGCUAAGUUGUAUAGAUGCACCGUGGAAUUUAAACUUAGCAACAGUUUGAUUUAUUGAAUGAGACUUGAUUAAGUAAAUUGAAUAUGCUUGCAACUAAAGGAUGCGCGGAUAAGAGUUAAGCAAGCAAUUUAUCUAAGUAAGUAAGUGAGCAAGUUAGAUAAUGACAAAAAGCAUCACAAACACAACAAACAUAUAGUGGUUCGGUGCACCCCAGCACCUACAUCCACUCUCCAAGACCUCUUGGGAAUUUUACUAUAAUCCUUCAGAUUACAGUCGGUUGUUUUACAAGCUCACAACCCAACUUGUUGUUUUGCGAGAUCACAACGAACUCGGUCGGUUUUCACAGGCUCACCGACUAGAACCAACCGAUUAUUUUCCCGGGUUCACAAUCAAACCCAGUUGGU
rnacentral:lncRNA from 1 species